GUACUUACCUGGCAGGGGAGAUACCUUGGUCACGAAGGUGAUUUUCCCAGGGAGAGGCUCACCUAUGUACUCCGGGUGUGCUGACCCCUGCGAUCUCCCCAAAUGUGAGAAACUCGACUGCAUAAUUUGUCGUAGAUGGGGACUGCGUUCACACUGUCCCCUG